rnacentral:pre_miRNA from 15 species
GUCCCGUGGCCCGUGAAAUCAAGCGUGGGUGAGACCUGGUGCAGAACGGGAAGGCGACCCAUACUUGGUUUCAGAGGCUGCGAGAA